UGCCCCGUGGUGUAAUUGGCAACACGUCUGACUCUGGAUCAGGAGUUCAAGGUUCGAGUCCUUGCGGGGCAG
rnacentral:tRNA from 1 species